GUAUGGUAAAGGGUUUAUUAUGGUCACCUCAGUGUGGGCCUCUCAUGAUGUGCCUAUGCCACAGCGAACUGCAGCCUUGAACCAUUGCCCAGCCUCCUUAGCAUGGGCCAUAAGCACUGAAAGGGACUGCACAUUG